AGAUUUUAGCCGAAAAUGUCAUAUAUCUUACUCGAAUGGCCAUGGAUGGACGAAAAAUAGCAUGAGAAACCAUGGUAGGUGAGUGAACCACCUCUGCUUCACUUGAAGGCCUCAAAAAGAUGACACACAUUCAAGAGGAAGCCAUAAGGGCUGGUAGGUGGCGAGGCCCUUAUGGAUUCAGGCAAGGAGAUGACCAAGAAGGUAGAUAGGGUUCAUCAGAUAGGAGGGGAGAGGAUAAGGUUCUAGAGAGAACUAGAGAUAGAUAGAGAGAUGAGAGGCCAUUUGAA
rnacentral:lncRNA from 1 species